UACGGAGGGUGCGAGCGUUGUCCGGAAUCAUUGGGCGUAAAGCGCGCGUAGGCGGCCCGGUAAGUCCGCUGUAAAAGUCCAGGGCUCAACCCUGGAAAGCCGGUGGAUACUGUCGGGCUAGAGUCCGGAAGAGGCGAGUGGAAUUCCUGGUGUAGCGGUGGAAUGCGCAGAUAUCAGGAGGAACACCUAUUGCGAAGGCAGCUCGCUGGGACGUAACUGACGCUGAGACGCGAAAGCGUGGGGAGCAAACAGG
rnacentral:rRNA from 1 species